rnacentral:rRNA from 1 species
UGGGUAGUCCGCACGAGCGCACCUUAUCAUUAGUUGCUACGCAAGGGCACUCUAAUGAGACUGCCGGUGACAAACCGGAGGAAGGUGGGGAUGACGUCAGGUCAUCAUGGCCCUUAUGGGUAGGGCUACACACGUCAUACAAUGGCCGGUACAGAGGGCUGCCAACUCGCGAGAGGGAGCUAAUCUCAGAAAACCGGUCGUAGUCCGGAUCGCAGUCUGCAACUCGACUGCGUGAAGUCGGAAUCGCUAGUAAUCGCGGAUCAGCUUGCCGCGGUGAAUACGUUCCCGGGUCUUGUACACACCGCCCGUCACACCAUGGGAGCGGGUUCUGCCAGAAGUAGUUAGCCUAACCGCAAGGAGGGCGAUUACCACGGCAGGGUUCGUGACUGGGGUGAAGUCGUAACAAGGUAGCCGUAUCGGAAGGUGCGGCCGGAUCACCUCCU